GGAAACUAAAUUGAAUUAAAAUUGAUAUCUGUAUCGAAUCGAUUUGAGCCAAGUCAAUUGGUUUGGUCGGUUUUGAUCAGUUUUUAUUAUUUCGAAUAGAUUUUAGUCUUGACCGAUUAAUUUCCACAGAACCAGCCAGGCUGAACCACGAAAAAUUUUAGUUCAAUCCAACUAAGCCGAUGAAACCGAAUCCCCUUUGGGUCGGAUGUUUUGCACAUCCCAACAAAUGGGCGAGCGGAGAAAAUCCAAUCAACCAACCAGUAAAAAACCUUAUUACUUGCCACGUCGCUGGAGCAAACAGCGCUGCGAUGCAUAGAACUCUACAAACGCAUUCAGCCUGCAAAAAUAUUCUUUCGCGCAGAAGCAACCAUAGUUAACGAAAAACAUGGAAACCGAAGAGAUAAUACAGGAGCUUGGCAAUGUCGAAACUGAGCUUCGACAUGUCCAAGACCAGAUAAAGGUAUUGCUUGAGCGGCAAGAGGAAUUGUAUGAUAGACAAUCAGAACUGAAGGCGGUAUUAGAGGCAUGUACUGCAAAUGAGAACCCUGAUAAAGACGAAGAUGGUCCUCACAGUUCACCUGAAAACUGGUCAGGGCCAUUUGAUUGGGACUCUAAAGCUGAUCAUCUUAAGUUUCAUGUUUUUGGCAUUUCCGCAUAUCGUGCAAAUCAGAGAGAAAUCAUCAAUGCUGUCAUGAGUGGAAGAGAUGUUCUUGUCAUUAUGGCUGCAGGUGGGGGCAAGAGCCUCUGUUACCAGCUACCAGCUAUUCUUCGUGAUGGGAUUGCUCUUGUUGUUAGUCCAUUGAUUUCUUUAAUUCAAGAUCAGGUUAUGGGUUUAAAAGCCUUGGACAUUCCAGCAUCCAUGCUUACAUCAACCACUAGCAAGGAAGAAGAGAAGUUUAUAUACAAGGCUCUUGAAAAGGGUGAAGGAGUUAAAAUAUUAUAUGUCACACCUGAAAAAAUAUCAAAGAGCAAAAGAUUCAUGUCAAAACUUGAAAAGUGCCACCAUGGAGGCCAUCUUUCUCUAAUUGCAAUUGAUGAGGCUCAUUGUUGUAGUCAGUGGGGACAUGACUUUCGUCCUGAUUACAAGAACCUUGGUAUCCUCAAGAUUCAGUUUCCCAAUGUUCCAAUGUUGGCUUUGACUGCAACUGCCACUCAGAAAGUCCAAUAUGAUUUAAUGGAGAUGCUGCAUAUUCCAAAAUGUGUUAAAUUUGUUAGCACAGUCAACAGGCCAAAUCUCUUUUAUAUGGUAAGAGAAAAGUCAUCAGUUGCUAAGGUUGUUAUUAAUGAAAUUGCUGAAUUCAUUCGAGAAUCUUAUCCAAAUAAUGAAUCUGGGAUAGUCUAUUGCUUUUCAAGAAAGGAAUGUGAACAGGUUGCAGCAGAGUUGCGUGAUAGAGGAAUUUUGGCUGAUUAUUACCAUGCAGAUAUGGAUGUUAAUGCUCGUGAGAAAGUUCAUAUGAGGUGGAGCAAAAAUAAGUUACAGGUCAUUGUUGGUACGGUGGCAUUUGGCAUGGGAAUCAACAAACCAGAUGUUAGGUUUGUCAUCCAUCACAGCCUGAGCAAAUCAAUGGAAACAUAUUACCAGGAAAGUGGCCGGGCUGGACGAGAUGGAGCAGCUUCUGAAUGUGUACUCUUUUUUAGGCCUGCUGAUGUUCCCAGGCAGAGUUCGAUGGUCUUCUAUGAGAAUUCUGGAUUGCAAAAUCUUUAUGGCAUAGUACGAUAUUGCCAGUCUAGAAGACAAUGUCGCCGAAGUGCCUUUUUCCGACAUUUUUCUGAGCCAUUACAAGACUGCAAUGGGAUGUGUGAUAAUUGUGCAUUCUCAAGUGAUAUUACAGAAGUUGAUGUGUCUGGUUAUGCAAAAAUUAUGGUCUCAUUGGUUCAAGAUGUGCAGGAGAAUGAUCAGCGAUUGACAAUGUUGCAAUUGGUGGACAAAAUGAAAAAUAAGCACAAGGAAACAGAAAGAAGAAUUUCAGCAUACAGCAUAUGCUACAAAUGCUUAUGUGAAAUUAGGACCGCUGGCAAAGCAUGUAUUGCAAGAGAGGAAGACUGUUAAGCUCGAGAUUUCUAAUAAACAGAACAAAGCUGGCUACAAAUCAGCAAAGCGCAGUCUCACAUUGUCUGGGCUUGAAUUUAAACUUGAUAAGCUGCGGAAAGAACUGUCUUCUAACCAUGGGGGUCUCCCUCAUUCUAUCUUGUCUGCUCAGCAGAUGAGCAUAAUCAGCGCCCAGAAACCGAAUUCAGCAGAAGAGCUGGAGAAGAUAAUUGGGAAACUGAAGACAGAAAGAUAUGGGAGUAGAAUUCUUGAAGAAAUUAAGAAGUUCGUAGACACCGAUGAGCCUGAUGAUAAUAUGUUGAAUGAUGAAGGCAGCACGAAGAAACCUAGAAAGAGACAGAAAAUCAAGAAGGAUUUUGUUGUUAUUGAAAGCAGUGAAGACGAAUAAGGUACACUGCUGCGAGUGACCUUAAUAUCCUUAUUUGCACCACUCCCUACAGAGACUGCAUCUUACACUGGCAGAUUGGUUAUGGUUAACAGUCGGUUUUCAGUUUUUUGGUUAAUUGGAAAAUGUCCCUCGGGAUUAAGGAAUAUAUUAAAUUCUAUGUAUUUUUCUAAUGUCAAAAGCAAUUGGAUAUGCACCCUAAACUAUAUGGAUUACUUAAACUUGCAAAAUUUGCUAACAUUUUACACUUUUCCACACUGACAAUAAUAGUUUUCACGAUUUUUGGCUUUUAUA